rnacentral:ncRNA from 1 species
ACAAGCAGUAUGAGGGGAAACUUCACGUACGGUUUGAUGAAGGGAACCUUAAAGUAAAACAACGACCCACAAAGAAGUCGUUGUUUUACUUUCAAUUUUCUACUCUAU